rnacentral:ncRNA from 37 species
UUGACCUCGGAUCAGGUAGGGAUACCCG